GGAUGCUCUGAAGACCUGCUCGCUAGGCCACGCACGGAGAACGUUGGUUUCUCAUGGGCCCCGCGCCCGCCUAGGGGAAAGUCCCCGGACCGCCGGCAGAGAGUGCCGGGCGCUGCCCGCGCCCCCGCCUGCCCCCGUCUCACGCACUCCCCGCCGAGACGCCCCCGGGCCGAGCGGGUGAGGGCGGGGCGGGCUCUCGUCACGGCCACAGAUACGCAGGUAGUGCGCAGGCGCACCAACAGAACGGGGCUCACUCUCAGGCCAUC
rnacentral:RNase_MRP_RNA from 1 species